rnacentral:rRNA from 1 species
ACGACUACAUAUCAGGCAUAUCAAUAAGCGGAGGAAAAGAAACUAACUAGGAUUCCCUCAGUAACGGCGAGUGAAGCGGGAAGAGCUCAAAUUUGAAAUCUUCAAGGUUCUACCUUGACGAAUUGUAGUUUAAAGAAGUGUUUUCUGUUGGAGUUUUGGUAAAAGUUCUUUGGAAUAGGACAUCAUAGAGGGUGAGAAUCCCGUAUUUGACCUAUUCUUUCCUAGCUUUGUGAUACACUUUCAAAGAGUCGGAUUGUUUGGGAAUGCAGUCCAAAAUGGGUGGUAAAUUUCAUCUAAAGCUAAAUAUUGGCGAGAGACCGAUAGCGAACAAGUACCGUGAGGGAAAGAUGAAAAGAACUUUGAAAAGAGAGUUAAACAGUACGUGAAAUUGUCAAAAGGGAAGCGUUUGACACCAGUGUUGUUUUCUCGAAAAUCAAUUAAAAAAAGGUGGAUUUUGUGUUGUAUUGACCUUAUCAGCUUUCUGCACUCUUUUCCUGUCUUUUUUAAUGCACUUUUCGUUUAACAAGUCAACAUCAAUUUCUUUUGUUGUAAAAGGGUCAUUGGAAGGUGGCUUUCUCUUCGGAGAAAGUGUUUAUAGCCUUUGAUCUCUGCAAUCGGAGAGACUGAGGUCUGCAGCGUAGAUCCUUCGGGGUUAGAUACAUUUGUGCUAAGCUACAGCUUUUCAUAGACAACUUGUUGACUAUGUUUAGUCUUGUGACUUACCCGCUUAUGCUAUUUUACCUACGCUUAGGAUGUUGAGCGCAUGUCUCUCUCU